GAUGAAGAACGCAGCGAAAUGCGAUAAGUAGUGUGAAUUGCAGAAUUCAGUGAAUCAUCGAAUCUUUGAACGCACAUUGCACCCUUUGGUAUUCCUUAGGGCAUGCCUGUUCGAGCGUCAUUUAAACCUUCAAGCUAAGCUUGGUGUUGGGUGACUGUCCGCUUCACUGCGGACUCGCCUCAAAAUUAUUGGCGGCCGGUACAUUGGCUUCGAGCGCAGCAGAAACGCGAACUCGGGCCCGUCGUAUUGGCUCCCAGAAGCUAUCUUCACAAUUUUGACCUCGGAUCAGGUAGGGAUACCCGCUGAACUUAAGCAUAUCAAUAAGCGGAGGA
rnacentral:misc_RNA from 1 species